GUGUCAGCAGCCGCGGUAAGACGAACCGUGCAAACGUUGUUCGGAAUCACUGGGCUUAAAGGGCGCGUAGGCGGCUCGCCAAGUCGGGGGUGAAAUCUUUCGGCUUAACCGGAAAAGUGCCUUCGAUACUGGCGAGCUUGAGGGAGGUAGGGGCAUGUGGAACUUCCGGUGGAGCGGUGAAAUGCGUUGAUAUCGGAAGGAACGCCGGUGGCGAAAGCGACGUGCUGGAUCUCUUCGGACGCUGAGGCGCGAAAGCUAGGGUAGCGAACGGGAUUAGAUACCCCGGUAGUCCUAGCCCUAAACGAUGGGUACUAGGUUGUGGACUUAACAUGGGUUCACAGCCGAAGCAAAAGUGUUAAGUACCCCGCCUGGGGAGUAUGGUCGCAAGGCUGAA
rnacentral:rRNA from 1 species